CGUGUGUACAGUCGGAAACGUCUGUUCGUCUGACUUGCUACGCUGCAUACUACUACGCGAGUCUAUUUCCGUUUCGUCUGUUCGAUCGUUAUUGCUUCCAUACUUUCAUAUUACAAUUAUUACUUCCAUUAUUGAAACUGUUCAUUUAAGAUUCCUUUGAGACAUUUACCAAAGUAGUAUUUUCGUAGACUGAAUCUAAUUGUAGCUAUUGAGUAUUAUCGAAAUGUUCGUGGAAGAUAUUUCUGGGAAAGAUAAGUAAAUUAAAAUUGUAAUGGAACUGGCUGCAAGCUGACCUAGAACGCCACCGGAAGUGGAAGAAAAUAUAACUGUGCAGGAAAUAGCGCACUAAAAUGUCGAUUUUAUAGAGUGCAUCGUAAAUUACGUUACCAUCAAAAUAACCGACUCUUAUCUACUAUGUGUUUACUAAAUCUUUGAUCCAACAACUAAAAAUUAUUAUUUACUGCCGACCAAGAUAACUUAAAAUUCUAGUGUCGCAUAAUUCUUGUCCUAUAUUUUCCUUUUCUACUCUUUGUAAAUCGUGUAUAGAAUAAAAUUAAGUUGAAUUCAGAGAUUUCAUCAAACUUUUAAGAUACGGUAGAAGAUAAAAUAAUAAAAAUGGAACUGUGCAGAAGUAAAGAUGCAAGGAAAAUCAGGACAAGAAAAUCACUGUCAGGAUGAAAACCUGCGAGAAUAAGAAUUCCCGGCAACGAACAUCGGGAUGACGUUAAGUCUCCAAUCAACACGAUCGAGGGAAAGGGCUUUCAACAGGCUUGUAGUGAUUAUGUUAUUCAGAGAUAAUAUUGGUCGAUCGAAAAAGUGGAAAGUGAAGCGGUUCAGGGAAGUUUCUUAAUCGGCCAGUUGCGUUAGCUAAAUUAAAGCUUCAUGCCGUGCAUGCUUCUCAUCGGUCACGCGAAGUUAGGCUCGCGUGUUGCGUGUGACCGCGGAAUAACUUAGACGGCUACACGGCAAACAAAUAAGGCUACAAUAAUUUCAAUCUAUUAUGGAAUCUCGGCGAAAAUGAAUUAUAACGUUAUUAAAUCA